AUGCUAACAAAGCCCCUGAAGUAUCUUGAGCUGCUUUCAAUUAAUUCUAUUUUUAUUCAUUUUUAGGGUUCUACAGUCUCAAGGGAAGCCAGCGACAAGGAAAAGGCAAAAGAACUCCCCACUUUUAAAGACAACGACUUCCUGAAUGAAGGCCAGAAACUACAGAUAGGAGAUGAAAACAAGAAAUACUUUUUGGAGAAGCUAAAACGGGACGUAGAGAUAGGUCCUUUGCCGAACUUCCUAAACUGUCAUUAUGGGCUAAAAGUACUGAUGGUGGUGCUACAGCAACUCCCUACUACUUUGAAGAUUCAUAUCAAAUUUGCUGCCAAACAAAAACA